UCUGAAGAUUUAAAAAAGAUGAGCAAAUUCCAAGAACUUGGAUGGAAGCCUGGCCUACAUCCUUAUUAGAUAACUAUCCAUCGAUCUGGGACUGUUCUGUGCGUGUGUCCUACCCACCUGGCAUGUUGGGAGAGCUAAAUCAAUGCCACAAUGACAUGCUGUCUUUCUCCACUUGAGAUUGAAGCAGUCAGCCUCUCUCACUGACAAUACAUAUGAUGAGGGAGUGGAGGCCUAUGGAGAUUAUGUCCUAGAAGGCGAAGAACACAGGUCUGCAGCCUCCUACCCAGCCAGGGAACAGUCAGAAAUCCAAGAAAAGACAAACUGCAGCUAGAGCUCCCAGCAAUGUCAUGAGGGUGGAGCCAAGCAAUCCCUUGGUCCAGAGUUGUUGGAAAAUCCUGCAUCCUUCAGAUGUAUGAAGAAGAGUGGGAGUGGACGGGGCAGAAAUCACUAGCUGCCAAAUCUGAGGAAAAUAUCUCCAAAUUGGGGAGAUGGCCACUGAUUCCCACCGGUCUUCUCAUCAUGGUCUUGCAGUGGGAGAUGGGAAAAAUCAGGAAAGAAGAUUGGAAUUUGGAGAAAAUUGUGAAAAUAUAUUGGAGAGAGGGAUAGUUCUUGUGAACAAUGUGAGUC